rnacentral:rRNA from 1 species
GAUGAACGCUGGCGGCGUGCCUAAUACAUGCAAGUCGAGCGAACGGACGAGAAGCUUGCUUCUCUGAUGUUAGCGGCGGACGGGUGAGUAACACGUGGAUAACCUACCUAUAAGACUGGGAUAACUUCGGGAAACCGGAGCUAAUACCGGACAAUAUUUUGAACCGCAUGGUUCAAAAGUGAAAGACGGUCUUGCUGUCACUUAUAGAUGGAUCCGCGCUGCAUUAGCUAGUUGGUAAGGUAACGGCUUACCAAGGCAACGAUGCAUAGCCGACCUGAGAGGGUGAUCGGCCACACUGGAACUGAGACACGGUCCAGACUCCUACGGGCGGCAGCAGUAGGGACUCUUCCGCAAUGGGCGAAAGCCUGACGGAGCAGCGCCGCGUGAGUGAUGAAGGUCUUCGGAUCGUAAAACUCUGUUAUUAGGGAAGAACGUAUGUGUCAGUAACUGUGCACAUCUUGACGGUACCUAAUCAGAAAGCCACGGCUAACUACGUG